rnacentral:lncRNA from 1 species
UGGAGGGGAAAACAGUAUCUUGUUAGGAAACAAGCUGGAACUCCCUUUACGUGUGUGGAUAAUAUACUGCUCUCUCUUCCUAGGAAGCUACUGGACUCUGUCCUGAAGCCUCGCUUAGAACUAUGAAAGAGUUGAAGAGAGGCAGGCAGUUAGAAACACAUAAAUACCCACUGCCACUCGACAGCUCAGCUCUGCACCUGGAUCCGUUCCCCUGAGGCUGAUCCCCAGUGCUGUGGCCAGACGGAUUCUGCCACCGCAGUUUGUAACUGGGGUGGGGAGGAGAAGGGGGCAAGUCUCACCCGACAGGACAAUAAGGCAAGUGAUUGACAGCUGAGCUCAUCGUCACGGCUCAUGACACCUACGGGCUGAGACUGACUUCAGAGAUUUAAUUGGUAUAGAAAAUGAACCCAAUCAAGAUCCUAGAUGACCACAGAUGGCUGUCCUGUUAGCCAAGGAGCACCAGCCACCAUCAGAAUAGGAAGAAGCCAGAAUGGAUCCCCAGAUCCUCUAGGGAACACAGUCUCUGAAUGCAUUUCAACCGUUAACAUCCACUUCAGAGUUAAAAAAAAAAAAAAAAAAAAAAAAAAAAAAAAAAAAACCAACUGUAGUUUCAAGGCUAACCACAAUUGUGGUGAUGUUACAGAUGUCACAGGACCAGAACACACUGUACAGGCAUGGCGUCUCACACCAGUGACUUUCCUUUACAGGGCACAUGCCCCAGGCCGUCUUGAGCACACCUCUGGCAGUGCUUGCUUCAACGGUCUGCACACAUUACCUUCAGAGGAGUAAUUCCUCACACUAAAACCGUUCUGUGUCUUAGCUGGGGUUUAUGGGAAGACGGAAGGCGUGUGACAACUGCCAACGGCUCAUGUGUGUGCUUCCAGUACACUCUGUGUGUCUGUGUGUGCGCGCACACACACACUUUGGCUUCCAGAAAAACUAUGCUAAGCAAUUUAAACCUCGCCGCGCAUGAACUGCCAUUGACGUCGUUCUCAUCACGAGCCACUGAAGCAGAUGCUGUUAACUAGUGACUCCUGUGUCAGUGGAAGAAACUGGGGUUCAGAGUCUACGUUUGUUUUCUAUCACACUAGCUAGCUCAUAGGUGAGAGCUAAGACCUGGAUAUAGAUCUGUUUCCAACUCUCUAGCCUACCCCUUAAGAAAAUCUGAGGGCCAAUGAGAUGACCCGGUCUGAAAUUGUGCUCGCUGCCAAGCCUAAGUACCUGUAGUUAUGCCCCAGGAACUACAUGGCAGAAUGAAAAAACUGACUCUUCUGAUUGACAUAUGUGCAGCAUGAUGGAUGGGCAUGUGUACACACACACACACACACACACACACACCAUACACAGAGAGAAGUACACUCAAUUUAAGAUUUGGAAAAAAACAAAAAGAACAUCUGGGAGAAAAAAAGAAAGAAAGAAAUAAGAAAUUUAGAUCCAUUUUUUAAAAAUGGAUCCCUGGAGUGGACAAACAUCUUCAAAGAAGUUUUGAGUUAUGUCUUCAUGUAGGAAUACACGUUCAUAUUUGACCGUCUUCAUUUUCCAUGCUGGCAUUUUCAUUGCUAACAAUUGUUUUGGUUUUCUUUGGUGUGUGUGUAGGGGGGAGGGGAGGUAUUUGAAUGUCUGUCUUUGUCUUUAGCAAAAGACCCCAGAACUUUUCAGAGUCAAAAAGACGAAAACAAAUCUUAACAAUUUAAGAAAGGGGGGAAAUUUGAUUAAAAAUUUAUUCUUCUCAGAAAAGUGUAUCCUUCUGACAAGCUGUAUUUCUAUAUAAAAUUGCUUGUGGACCUCACAAACCUCAGAUGAUAGAGGUUUGUUUUAUUUUUAUGUAUAUGGGUGUUUGCGUGCAUGUAUGUAAUUGCACUGUGUGUGUGCACUGCCCAUGGAGGCCAGAAGAGGGCAUCUGAUUCCAUAGUACUGUCGCAGGCAAUUGUAAAAUGCCACGUAGGUGCUGCAAACUGGAUCCAGGUCCUCUGCAAGAACUUCAGAUGCUCUCAACCACUGAGCCAAUACUCCAGUCUCUUGAUAUUUUGUUGGUGUUGUUGUUGUUGUUGUUGGUGGUGGUGGUGGUGGUGGUGGUGGUGGUUUCCCUGAGACAGGGUUUCUCUGUGUAGCCCUGGCCAUCCUCAGAGAUCCAUCUGCCUCUGCCUCCCGAGGCAGGGAUUAAAUGUAUGCACCACCACGCCUGGCUGAGAUUUAAAAAAAAAAAAAAAAGAAAGAAACUGUCAUGGAAAUGUCGAGCAUUCCUUAUAGAAAAGUGUAAGAAAGCCUUCUCAGUAUUAAGAGCCAUCUCCUUGAGACCAGCCUUGCUUCCUCUAAUCCCUCUCUACCAGCUUCAUUUGCAGAACCACACACAUCUAUCACACACACACACACACACACACACACACACACACACACACACACACACACACACCGCCAUGAGUACUUUAGUAUAUCUUCGGUGACGAGACCAUUUUACUGAACAUAACUGAAAAGUCAUUAUCACUCUAACACAAUUACAGCCAUUGCUUAACAUCACCCCGUAGGGGCAGGUCUAUUGCUAAGGUCCUGUUCCCCAAUUGGUUCUUGAUCUGUCAGUUAAGAAAGUCAUGGGCCAAACGCUGGGUGGAAAGGAUAGGUGGGACUUCCGAGAGUUCUCUGUGCUACUGAUGAAGAAAAGUCUAAAAAUUUGAAAUGGAAUGGCCAUAUAGGCCGCUCCUACAGGGGGUGUUUAGCAGGGACUAGAUUCAACUGACCAACUAAAGUUAGGGCAGGUGGGAGGAGCAGAGCUAAGAGUAGUAAUGAAGGCUGGCUUUUCCAGGCAGGAGAUAGUAGCACCCAGCAAGUGUGCCUAGAAGGCAAAGUGAAAAUGAAAAACUGUGUGUCUGUGUCUUUUAUCCGUGGGCAAAGGGAAGCUGGGUGGUAGUUGGUAGGGUGGCCCAUUCCCGGAGCUAAGACAGGAUAACGAAAAGCUACAGGCAACAUCACCCAAAACUCUAUCACGCUCAGAUUUUUCCAACAGUCUCAAAAAAAAGCUUUUUUUCUUGUCAGUUGUUUUCUACCAGAACCCAUAUUCAUAUUGCAUUUGGUUAUUUUUUUAAUUAAAAAUAAAUUUUUUAUUAGUGUAUCAGUUUGGGUACUCCUCAGGGGAGUCAGGAGACAACCUUCAGGAAUCAGGUCUCUCUUUCCACUGUGGGUCCUAGAGACCAAACUCAGGUGUCAGACCUACACAGCGCGGGUGCCUUUACCUGGUGAUCCAUUCCACUGGCCCACCCUCAUCCUUUAAUCUAAGUGCUGAGAGCUUUUGGUGCCACUUCUAGGAAUUUGUCAUUUGUCAUUGGGCUCGGACAAGGAAGUAGGCGCAGGUAAGAAUGUCAGAAACACUGACCGUGGGGCUUUGCUUACUGCUUUGCUUGAUACUGUCUUGUGUGAUCUCCUUGUUUACCACUUCCCUUGACUCCUUUGUCUUUGAUCUAAGAACUGACCAUGGUGUUUGGAUGCACCUAGGAUGAUAUAAAAGCAGGCUGUAGCCGGGCGUGGUGGCGCACACCUUUAAUCCCAGCACUUGGGAGGCAGAGGCAGG